rnacentral:rRNA from 1 species
GACGAACGCUGGCGGCGUGCUUAACACAUGCAAGUCGAACGGAAAGGCCCUGCUUUUGUGGGGUGCUCGAGUGGCGAACGGGUGAGUAACACGUGAGUAACCUGCCCUUGACUUUGGGAUAACUUCAGGAAACUGGGGCUAAUACCGGAUAGGAGCUCCUGCUGCAUGGUGGGGGUUGGAAAGUUUCGGCGGUUGGGGAUGGACUCGCGGCUUAUCAGCUUGUUGGUGGGGUAGUGGCUUACCAAGGCUUUGACGGGUAGCCGGCCUGAGAGGGUGACCGGCCACAUUGGGACUGAGAUACGGCCCAGACUCCUACGGGAGGCAGCAGUGGGGAAUAUUGCACAAUGAGCGGAAGCCUGAUGCAGCAGCGCCGCGUGCGGGAUGACGGCCUUCGGGUUGUAAACCGCUUUCGCCUGUGACGAAGCGUGAGUGACGGUAAUGGGUAAAGAAGCACCGGCUAACUACGUG